AUGGAUUUCUGUCCCGAACAGGAAUUUCUGAUAUUCGGAACAGGCAGGCUCUGGUUUGUCCAUUCUAACAGGGGAUCUCAUUGUCUUGCAGGGCAGCCAAAGGCAUCUCCUACCGUGAACCUCUUCCCUCCAUCCUCGGAGGAGCUGCAAACCAAGAACAAAGCCACCCUGGUGUGUCUGCUGGGCAGCUUCUACCCCGGCUCCGUCCAAGUGAUCUGGAAAGCUGAUGGCCAGCAGAUCUCCACGGGAGUGGAGACCACCAGGCCGUCCAAGCAGAGCGACAACAAGUACAUGGCCAGCAGUUACCUGUCUCUGGAUGCAUCCAAGUGGAAGGCCCAUGACACCUACACCUGUCAGGUGACACACGAUGGGAAGACCCUUGAGAGGUCUCUGAAGCGAUUGGAGUGUUCGUAACCCUCUGACCCCAGGGGGCGCAGCCGGUGCCCACGUCAGCCUGUCGGGGGCUCCCAGAGGAGACAGGAUCUCCUAGCGUGGCCAUGAUGCUGAUUUCCAGCAAAUCUCAUUCCUCUUCUGGGGUGGGGGAUUCUAUUGAUCCACAUGACACCUGUCUUUGUUCCCUGUUCCCCUCUGCUCCCACCCCCGGCAAUCCCUGGCCAGUCCCCCUGCUUUAGUCUCCCAUGCAGCCUUGUUAUGUCAUUAAUAAAACCAAAACAUUCGACUAUCGCUGUGUGUGGGGAGCUUCACUUCUUGUGUCCCUUUUGCACCUGGUGUGUUCACUGCAAGAGUCACCUCGUCAGCCAGCCAGACAAACUCCCCUUCCCGCAGCCAACAUGGAUUUC